AUACGUAGGGGGCGAGCGUUGUCCGGAAUGAUUGGGCGUAAAGGGCGCGUAGGCGGCCCGGUAAGUCUGGAGUGAAAGUCCUGCUUUUAAGGUGGGAAUUGCUUUGGAUACUGUCGGGCUUGAGUGCAGGAGAGGUAAGUGGAAUUCCCAGUGUAGCGGUGAAAUGCGUAGAGAUUGGGAGGAACACCAGUGGCGAAGGCGACUUACUGGACUGUAACUGACGCUGAGGCGCGAAAGUGUGGGGAGCAAACAGGAUUAGAUACCCUGGUAGUCCACACUGUAAACGAUGAAUGCUAGGUGUAGGGGGUAUCGACCCCGUCUGUGCCGCAGUUAACACAAUAAGCAUUCCGCCUGGGGAGUACGGCCGCAAGGUUGAAACUCAAAUGAAUUGACGGGG
rnacentral:rRNA from 1 species